AAAAGGAAGAUUUUAUUAAAAGUUCUAACAAUAUGUACAUUGGGACGUUUUGAAUUUCUAUGGACUCGUAUAUUCAACCAACAUAGAAACAGAAGCUUCAGAAUACAUCUUCCCAUUGGGAACGAGUCGUCUGACUCGGUCCCAAACCCGAGUUAACUCGGUGAAGUUCCAUCUUCCUUCUUCAGCCACAGCAGCUCGAACCGGGCCGUCAGCGGCGGCAGCGGUGGGGAAGGAGCCACCUUCGCGGCGGAGUUUUGCCUGCUCGGAAGUCCAGAGGUCUACAAGGCCAGACAUGGAGGAGUAGUAGAAUUUAGAGCAAGAGGAAAAAAGAAAUAUUUUUGCAAUGAUGGAAAACAGAGGAAU
rnacentral:misc_RNA from 1 species